AUACCAGCACCCGAGUGGUCGGGACGUUUUAUUGGGCCUAAAGCAUCCGUAGCCGGUUCUACAAGUCUUCCGUUAAAUCCAGCUGCUUAACAGAUGGGCUGCGGAAGAUACUAUGGAGCUAGGAGGCGGGAGAGGCAAGCGGUACUCGAUGGGUAGGGGUAAAAUCCGUUGAUCCAUUGAAGACCACCAGUGGCGAAGGCGGCUUGCCAGAACGGCGCUCGGACGGUGAGGGAUGAAAGCUGGGG
rnacentral:rRNA from 1 species